UACGGAGGGUGCAAGCGUUAUCCGGAUUUACUGGGUUUAAAGGGUGCGUAGGUGGGUUGGUAAGUCAGUGGUGAAAUACUUUCGCUUAACGAAGGAACUGCCAUUGAUACUACCGGUCUUGAAUACAGUGGAGGUAGGCGGAAUGCGUCAUGUAGCGGUGAAAUGCUUAGAUAUGACGCAGAACACCAAUUGCGAAGGCAGCUUGCUACACUGUUAUUGACACUGAGGCACGAAAGCGUGGGGAUCAAACAGG
rnacentral:rRNA from 1 species